UUACGGUGGGUUUGUACCCAUGGUUUUACUCAAACCCAUAAGUAUUGGGCUGGGUUUUUACCCUGAAAUAGAUAGAUGGGUUUAGUAUGGGUUAUUAAUUUUAGAGAAUAUAUUAAUUUGGGUAAAUCCAAUAGGGUAAUUGGGUACCCACAGACUUAAAAAAAAAUAUACGUCGUCGUUUGUUAUGUCUUCUCUCUCAAAUCUGGAAAACGAAGUCUGUCUCUCUCAAAUCUCAAUUAAGCUGCGUCCUCUUCAUCUCUCUCAGGGAAGAAACAUCAUCAGGUUUUGAUUCUGAUUGUUCGCUUGUCUCUGCAGCAAACCCAUUAUCAGGUAAAAUGUUAAAGAUAAAAAGGUCUCACCAAUGAAGAAGGUGACAGAGUGAGACUCUUUACGGUGGUGCGGUUUCAGAUAUUUCA